rnacentral:rRNA from 1 species
UACGAAGGGACCUAGCGUAGUUCGGAAUUACUGGGCUUAAAGAGUUCGUAGGUGGUUAAAAAAGUUGAUGGUGAAAUCCCAAGGCUCAACCUUGGAACUGCCAUCAAAACUUUUUAGCUAGAGUGUGAUAGAGGAAAGUGGAAUUUCUAGUGUAGAGGUGAAAUUCGUAGAUAUUAGAAAGAACAUCAAAAGCGAAGGCAACUUUCUGGAUCAUUACUGACACUGAGGAACGAAAGCAUGGGUAGCGAAGAGGAUUAGAUACCCUCGUAGUCCAUGCCGUAAACGAUGUGUGCUAGACGUUGGAAACUUAGUUUUCAGUGUCGCAGCGAAAGCAUUAAGCACACCGCCUGGGGAGUACGACCGCAAGGUUAAAACUCAAAUGAAUUGACGGGGACCCGCACAAGUAGUGGAGCAUGUGGUUUAAUUCGAAGAUACGCGCAGAACCUUACCAACACUUGACAUGUUCGUCGCGACUCUGAGAGAUCAGAGUUUUCGGUUCGGCCGGACGAAACACAGGUGCUGCAUGGCUGUCGUCAGCUCGUGUCGCGAGAUGUUGGGUUAAGUCCCGCAACGAGCGCAACCCCUACCUUUAGUUGCCACCAUUAAGUUGGGCACUUUAAAGGAACUGCCAGUGAUAAGCUGGAGGAAGGUGGGGAUGACGUCAAGUCCUCAUGGCCCUUACGUGUUGGGCUACACACGUGCUACAAUGGCACUUACAGUGGGAAGCUAAGACGCGAGUCCAAGCUAAUCCCUAAAAUGUGCCUCAGUUCGGAUUGCACUCUGUAACUCGAGUGCAUGAAGCUGGAAUUACUAGUAAUCGCGGAUCAGCGCGCCGCGGUGAAUACGUUCCCGGGUCU